rnacentral:misc_RNA from 1 species
GCCUACCACCGGCAAGCAUAGCUUUCUCAGGAAUGUAAUGGCGCGUGUGCUUUUAUUUGGCGUUUUGAUCAUCAUCGUUCGAUUUGCUUUCGUCGUCACUAUAGCCGGUGAGUCUUGUAAUAUUGGAGACUUCUGCUUUUUCUCCCUGCCGGAGAACUUCAGCUUCAUCAUCGCUGGGAGCGGGGCCCGCGCUUCGGCGGUGAACAGAGUGGUUAGGCCGGCGGGUCCUACUCAACCCGAUCUAUACACUAGCAAAGACUGGAUCAAGGCCGUUCAUUUUUACUCCUCGGUGUUUCAAGAUCUAAUCACAGAAGGCUACCUCUCUCCGAACUCCAAGUCCCUGUGCGUUGAAACACCAAACGGACAGGACGUCUAUGCCUUGAAAGAGAUCGGCGUUUCGGACUCGGUUGGAAUUUUCAAGAAAGCUUUUAAGCCUUUGGUAAUCUCCAGUAAAACGAAUCGCAUAGCGUUCGAUGACGAUACCUUUGAUUUCGUUUUCUCCGGUCAGGGCGGCUUAGACAAAGCGUCACGGCCGUUGGAUCUGGCAUCGGAGAUUUCACGGACGCUGAAACCCGAAGGGUUUGUGGUGGUCCACGUGAGGGCAAAAGAUACGUAUAGCUUCAAUUCAUUCCUUGAUUUGUUCAAUUCUUGCAAAUUGAUAAAAUCUCAUAAUAUAGAUGGUUAUGAUUCAUCCAUGCCUUACAUUAGAGAAAUUAUUCUGCAAAAACACAGUGGAAUUUUUGGCCGUGGGGUGAAGGAGCCCGGC